GUCCGAGACACUUCUGGCCACAAGCAUCUUGAGCACAGGGUGCUGAACCUGCAGGUGAAAGAAAAGUAUUUCAUUUCUUUUCUUCAUGGGUGUCAAUAUUCCAGUUUGUGUCUUUUGAACACUGGUUGGACACCUAAGUUGGUAUGAUCUUUCAUUUAUUCUACUAUGGCGAUUAUUCUAUUAUGGAUUUAUUGAGUAUUCCCACAAGAAAAUGAAUCUCCAGGGUUCUUUUGAAGACCCUGACCUGGAGUUACACGCAGGCUUCGGUUCUUUGCAGGAAUGGGACCCGUUCUCGGGGUUCCACGACUGGUCAUUAUUCGACAAGCCAAGGGUUUGGCCUGAGAGUCUCGAUCGUGUUUGGAAGCCUAAGAUCUCGGGGCUCUGGAGACGGGGGGAUCGAGGGUCGGUGUCACGGCAGGAGACUCGUGUGUCGUCAGGGAGGCCGGAAAGUCUUUCGCUGUGGGCCCGAAGACCCGAGGUCUUCGUGAUCUUCAGACACAGAGCUUGAAAAAAACAACAAAACGGACUUUUAACAUUGUAAAUCAGCGGGUUGUUGUCAUGUCUCCCACUUGCUGUGAAAACGGGACACCACCCUCUCCCUUGCCGGGGAGAGAGAGAACCAGUGGUUUGUCGAAUGUUGGAUGAAAUGCAAAGCCUUUGGGGAAUGUUUGGUCUUUGUCUUUGCUAUUCCUUAGCUCAUGCUUGGGCUCAGUGAUGGUACCGAUGUGCUUUCUUUUGCUGGUGGAGGGAAGGUGAAUCAUUGCUCGCUGCCACUUACGGGUGGGAGGAGGGAACUGGGGGGGGGACUUUGUGGCUCUCACGUUUAACGGUCAUUCAUUCUUUGGGGCACUUCUCUGUUUUCGUGGAUGUUUGCGAAGAAAAAGCAUUUCAGGAUGUAUAUCGUAUACAUUUCUCUGACAUUAAAUUUGACCUUUGAACCUUUGAUCUUGGGGUCCAUGUCAAUAGGACACUCAAAGCUGCUCCACAGGUUGACAGUGUUGUUAAGAAGGUGUAUGGUGUGUUGGCGUUCAACAACUAUGGGAUUGAGUUCAAGAGCUGUGAGGUAAUGUUACAGCUAUACAAGACCUCGCUCAGACCACACUUGGAAUACCAUGCUCAGUUCUGAUCACCUCACUGCAGGACAGAUGUGGAUACUAUUGAGAGAGUGCAGAGGAGAGUUACAAGGAUGCUGCCUGGAUUGGAGGGCGUACUUAUGAGAAAAGGUUGAAAGAAUUUGGCCUUUUCUCAUUGGAGUGAUGGAGGAUGAGAGGUGACCUGAUAGAGGUGUAUAGGAUGAUGAAGGGCAUUGGUUGUGUGGAUAGUCAGAGGCUUUUUCCCAGGGCUGAAAUGGGUAACACAAGGGGGCAUAGUUUUAAGGUGCUUGGAAAUAGGUACCGUGGCAAUAUCAGGGAUAAGUUUUCACACAGAGAGUGGUGAGUGCAUGGAAUGCAGUGGUGAAAGCCGAUACAAUAGGAUCUUUUAAGAUCCUCUUAAAGAGGUACAUGGGGAUUAGAAAAAUAGAGGGCUAUACGCUAGGGAAAUUCUAGGCAGUUUCUAGAGUAGGUUACAUGGUCAGCACAGCAUUAUGGGCCAAAGAGCCUGUAAUGUGCUGUAAGUUUCUAUGAUCUAUGUGGUAUAGUUAUUACUGAGAGGAAUGGCUACAGGGGUACUCUGCACUGGCUGCCUAUUCCCUUUCCCUCCCCUGACAGUCACCCAGGUACCUGCUUCCUGCAGCUUAGGGUUGACUACCUCGAUGCACUGCAUGCAGUUUUAGUUAUUAGGGAGAUUUGAUGUCUCCCAGAGUUCCUACAUCUGACACAAAGAACAUACCAACUAACUCUGAGCUCAUUCUCAGUGCACUGGCUAUGUGCUAACAGACAAAAAAAGUGUAAAAAAACCCUAAAAACUUACUUAGAACCUCCACCAGUGCUUGCCUAAGCCUGUUGCUCCACAGCCUCCCACUCUAACACUGGCCCACUCAACCAAUAGCUGCUCCACUUACACCUUCCUUCUUUUUAGAGGCUCAACUAAAAACUCACUCCCAAUGAGACACUUUGUUUAAAUGGCUCCCACCUUGCAACAAUGUCUCUCUCUCUCAUUCACUGCUUCAUGUUAUGACUCAGUCCCUAUGAGACUUGUUCUCAUCCAAUCGCUCCUGCCUUGCAAUGAUUUCUCUCUCCCUUUCACUCACUACUUCAAAUUAUCCUGGAACAGAUGUAAAACUCUGCUGCAUUCCCACUAUACAAGUACAAUGGAUUCUGGCUAAUCGGGCCAUCGGUUAUUCAGGGUAGCCACUUAUUUGGGACAACUUUUAACGAUCAAAAGCAAAUUGAGAAAAUAGCCAGGAUUCCCUUUAUUUAAUUGGGGCAUUGGGUCACUUAAUUGCGACAUAAGAUGGUCAGUCACAUGCACUUCUUUGGCCAAAAGAGUGAACAGUUGCAUCAGUUGCGUGUGUUUGUGUUAUGUUAUCCAUCUGGGCCAAUGGAUGUUGAUUGAAAAGGCAUUGAUAUUUGAUCUUUUUUAAAAUUUUGAUUUAAAAGUUUUUGAGACCCUUGCCAUGAAAAGAUUUGACACUAGUCAAAAAAUUACUCUACUGGACCAAACUAAAAGUCAUUCACCUAACACCAUUCCUUGUCAACUGGCAGAGAUAAGAGGAAUGCCAAACUGUACGAUUGCAUACAUCUGCAAGAUGAACUGUGUGAAGAAUGGGCAUUAUAUGAGGGAGUACGGGGAGCAUCCAAAAAAUGAAGCUUGACAGUAAGGAUUCAGAUAUUGGAGGCCCUCAUUCAAUGGUUUUCAUUGUAAAUGAACGAUGUAUGUGUGUGUCAGGGGACCACUGUUAGAAGAGCAAGUCAAAGAGCUGGCUAAAAAGCUCUUGAAGUCAUGAAGAUUUUAAAGCAAAAGGUGGUUGGUUGUCUCAAUGGAAAUGUAGGCACCAUAUUAAAUUCAAGAAAGCAUAUGGCCUGAAAGGUAAUACUGUUGCUGUAAGUGCAGAAACAUGUAAAUCAACAAAACUCCCUGACUUGCUUCAAAAAUUUUGUGCAGAUGUACGUACAAUGCCAAUGAAACAGGCCUUCUUUAUUGUGCCACACCAGACGCUUCCCUCUUCUACAAACCCACAACACGACCAGAUUCAAAAAGCAAUGAAUCACAUAAUUGUGUUGUGUUGUUCAAGUACAUUAGACACGAAUAAAAAGAAAUUUUGGGUUAUUUGGAAAAGUGUUAAAGCUCGAUGCUUGAAGUGGCUAAGAAUGGAUAAUUUACCAAUCAAGUAAUAUACCAGCUUUACACUCAAUGAAUUCCUCCGUCAGUAACCACUACAAACUAAUAUACAGUCUUUCAGUACUGUAAUAAUAUUGGUAGUGUUCUAGUCUGUUUUGGAUUUCAUUUAAAUACAUAAUCAGGUAAAAAGUAGUCUGUCUUUUUUAUACCUUUAUAAUUAUUUCCAUGAAACUUCAGAUAAUUGGGGCAGUCACUUAUUUGGGCCAAAAUGUACUAAUCCUAUUUAACCAGAAUCCACUGUAUAUCAUUUCUUAGGUAAAAGCAUUACCUGUCUGUACGUAAACCUGUACACAAUGCUCUAGAUGCAGUCUUACCAAAACCCUGUAGAAAUCCUGUUAUAAUAAAGGUUAACUUAACAUUUUUCUAUUUA